UACGUAGGGUGCAAGCGUUUAAUCGGAAUUACUGGGCGUAAAGCGUGCGCAGGCGGUUUUGUAAGUCUGACGUGAAAGCCCCGGGCUUAACCUGGGAAUUGCGUUGGAGACUGCAAGGCUUGAAUCUGGCAGAGGGGGGUAGAAUUCCACGUGUAGCAGUGAAAUGCGUAGAUAUGCGGAGGAACACCGAUGGCGAAGGCAAUCCCCUGGGCCUGCACUGACGCUCAUGCACGAAAGCGUGGGGAGCAAACAGG
rnacentral:rRNA from 1 species